AUGAAUAAGCCAACCAUUUGCCAUAUCUGCAUUAUGAAUUGCACAUUGCCCCUGCAGGUUAAAAAUGCCAUGUUAGCAGGAGCCAUAGGAAUCAUCCUGUACUCAGAUCCAGCUGACUACUUUGCUCCUGAGGUACAGCCAUAUCCCAAAGGAUGGAAUCUUCCUGGAACUGCAGCCCAGAGAGGAAAUGUGUUAAAUUUGAAUGGUGCUGGUGACCCACUCACUCCAGGCUAUCCAGCAAAAGAAUACACUUUCAGACUUGAUGUUGAAGAAGGAGUGGGAAUCCCCAAAAUACCUGUACAUCCCAUUGGAUAUAAUGAUGCAGAAAUAUUAUUACGGUAUAGUUUUCUUGUUGGAUAUGAGAUUAAGAUAUUUUGCACUAGGUGUCUAUUUUCUCAUCAAAACCAAUAUGGCAUUCUUAUGUUAAACAUAAAGUUUUAUAACUAAAUUAAUCCUGAAUAGGUAUAACAGAGUAUACUAUCUUUUCAUUUCAUAAAAGUAGUCAUUUGGUGACUAAGAAAUAAAAAUAAAUAUCUCUCUGUUUGCUGCAAAUGAAAUUCUCAUACAAAACUAUGUCCAAAGAUAAUUCUGAUUUGAGAUUUUUCAAGCAAUUGAAUUUUCAUAGGUAUUCAUUAGAUAUUUAUAUUCAACGUGUAUUAUAAGAAUAUGACAAUGCCCCCACUUACUAGAGGUAUGACCUUGAACCAGUUGCUUAAACUUUCUCUGCUCAGUUUCUUUAUUUGUAAGAUGAAGCUAGUAACUGUUUCUCCUUCAUAUGUUAUUAUGAGAUCAUAUGUGUAAAAUACUUAGCACCAUAUUUAAAAUAUAGUAAACAAUUAUUGUAUCUAUAACUGACAUUUCUUUACAUAUCUCUCAACUGCCAUUUUUAAAUGCCUGUAUGAGUAUCACAACUUAAUAAUUGUUUGAGUGCCUACUAUGUAAUCAGCAGCUUCUUUACAAAAUUAAUUUAUUCUCCUUAAUAGAGUCAUUAAUUUCCUAUAUUUAGGAUUUCUUGGAUUCAGUGAAUCCCCACAUAAAUAAUUAAGGUCAAAAAUAAGGAGAUGGGCUUCCCAUUUGCCAUCACUAUUUUAUUUUUUCUCUUUGCUCUUAUCACUAACAUAUUACAUAUUUUACAUAUUGAUUUCAGUAUGGCUUCUCUCACUAGAAUAUGAACCCCACAAAGCGGGGACUUUUUGACAGUACCUGGCACAAAUGACAAAUAUUUGUGUUAUAUAUGAAUGAAAUAUUGUCAUCAAACUUUAUAAUUUCUCCUUAGAAAUGGUGAUAGUAGCCUUUUUCUGUCACUUUCAUUUUAUUUUGACAGCCACUUGGGAGGAAUGGCUCCACCAGAUGAGAGCUGGAAGGGAGCCUCAAUGUGAGUUAUAGUAUCGGACCUGGCUUUACAGGGAUAAUUCUUCCAGGUAAUUUUGCAUUACUUUAAUAGUCCUGAAAAAGUUUUAUAUUUUUACUGGAAACAUGUCAAGAUAACUGUUCUGCCAGGGAUAAUUUGCUUAUCUCUUUUUCUCUUUUUUAUUACUAAACAAUUAACAAUUUUACAUUACUUAAGAAGUACUUACAAAAUGAAAUAUGGGAUUCUUUCACUAGUAAUAUCACAAUAUUAGUUUCAUAGAAUCUCAAAAAUUACUACAUUUGAAUUCUAAGUUUUAACAUUUCAAAGAUUUUUCAAAAUUCUCUCUUCACCUAAUUUUUAAAAUCGUUUUUCAAAUGACUUUCAAAGUGAUAUACAUGUGAAAAACUAGGUGAAGGUGCUGGGUGUGGUGGCUCACGCCUGUAAUCCCAGCAUUUGGGAGGCGAGGCAGGCGGAUCACCUGAGGUUGGGAGUUUGAGACCGGCCUGGCCAACAUGAAGAAACCCCUUUCUACUAAAAAUACAAAAAUCAGCCAGGCGUGGUUGUACAUGCCUGUAAUCCCAGCUACUUGGGAGGCUGAGGCAGGAGAAUCGCUUGAACCCGGGAGGUGAAGGUUGCGGUGAGCCGAGAUGCGCCAUUGCACUGAGACUGGGCAACAAGACUGAAACUCCAUCUCAAAAAAAAAAAAAAAAAACCUAGGUGAACUUAAGGGAGAAGGAAAGAUGAAGAGAGAAGGGAACCAACAUUUAUAGAUCACUUACUGUGUGUGUUAAAUGAGUUCAAAUGGAUAAAUCACAUAGCUACUAUAAGGCUCAAUAGAAUUAAUAUUACAAUUAUUAUUGUUAUAAAACAUGAUAACACUCUUCUAGAAGAGAUGUGAUCACAAAUUGCGUGUUUAUUGAGCUUAGUCUUACAGAAAGAGUGAAAGUUUACCACUGGGUCAAGGCAGGCAAGAAAUGCCAACUAGAGAAAUCAGCUUGUACAGUUGUUGAACAGCAUGGCAUGAUCAGAACUUCAAGAAGUUUGAUUUGCCUGAAAUGUGAUGGGAGAGAAAAAUGUAAUACUGAUAAAUCAGAGUGCAUAUAACUGUUUUUAUUAACCAAAAGUAUUGAAUCAGUCUUGUUUGCUAACAUUUACCCUUAACUAUGUGAAUUUGGAUUCUCAGAAUAUUUUUUAGUUUCUGUAAGAUUUCUUUAUUCCAGAAAUUUUAAAGUAUUAGAAGUCCAAUUUCCUUGUUUUAAAAUAAGUUUAUAAAUGUUUGAUUUAUAUUGUGUUAUCUCUAUAAUUCAAUCAGAACAGUGUUCUUUUAAUUUAAGAGACUAUUAUCUUAUUUGGCUUAUACCCUCCAGAGAAAGGAAAACAUAACUUAUUCAAUGAAAGGUAAAGCCCUUUCUGAUUUAUAAGCAGAAACAUAUAGACAGAGAAAACAUAUAACUUCAAUUCUACACUUUUAGUAACAAUUAAAGAGUAAACUCAAAAACAUAAACAUUCCUAGGUCUAGAUAUAAAAUAGCCGUGCUCCUUCAGUGUGAGCACAGAAUUCUCUAUUGGUUAGAACUCAAAGUGGACAAAUACACAAACAACAACAACAAAACUAAAAGCUAGAUUCUCUCAUGUCUCACCUCACAGAGAUCUCGAUAAUCCAUUUACAGAUAUUAUCAAAUGACAAGACAUAAAGGCAAACUCCAGAUCAUUGCUGCCACCAAUGAGGAAUAACUUAAUCUGCCCUGAGCAAUGCGGAAACAUAAAACACAACAUCAGUAGAGAAAAAAUAAAGCUAGGGAUACAGAGUAUCAGCAAAGUUAAAUUUCUUCUGUUGCUUAGAAUUUACAUGUGAGAGCCAAAAGAAGAUAUGAAUUGGUUUAAGCUGCCCAUACCUGGUUCUGCAAAAUGAAUCCAUUGUACCUCAAAGUGGAACCUCCAAAAAUCUUCCACAGUGAGGAAAGGAACACAAACAUUCACUAGACAGAUUGUGCAUUUCAGUGGAAUUGAAUUAUUUGCAUUACUUUCAUAUUUCUACAAGUUAACUUCUUUCUCUACAGAGCUGUAAAAUAGUCUAGUUAAGAACACUGACAGGUAAAGGUGACCAUAAUGAAUGGAUGAGCCGAAGUUUUUCCCAAUUUUUCCUUACAGGAUAUAUUCAUUAUUUCCACAAUAUUUCUUGAGCAUUUCCUAUGCCCCGGGCACCAUUCUGGGUUCUGGUGAUUCUGCAGUGAACAAAGCAGGCAAAAAAUCUCCUCCCUGUGGAGACUCCAUUCUGGAGUUCAGUUUAGGAAACGUGAUAAAGUAAUAAUGGGCAAAAUAUAUAUUCUUCUGGAGCUCAAAUCUAAAAACGAGAAAGACAUAGGUUUAAGAUGGAGAUGUGCUUCUUUGAGAAUCUUAGCAGAUAGCCUAUGUUUUUGUUUAGACUAAUAUCAAUUUUUUUCAUUCCUCAUAUGUUGCAUUUUUCUUUACUUGAUUUUUUCUGUUAAUGACACAAUACCAAUGAAUUUAGGUUUCUUACUAAUCAUAUAUUUAAGGCCCAUAUUUUUAGAAACACAUGCUAAACAUAUUUCUUCUUUUCUGCUAUUAAUUUUCAUCUGUCAGUAGCAAAAGAAAUCAUUUACUUAAUGCCUUAAAAUGAAAAAAAAAAUACCCAUCGAUUAGUUUUCCUCUGAGGUAAUCUUAGUUAUAUUGCGAAUGGAUUAAAUAUCAGAAGCACAGUAUACUUUUGGUGGGGGUGGGGGAAGCCAGAAUUUGUUCUUAACAAUAUACAAGUUUCAGGGUCUUAUUCGUUCUUCCAUCACAAACUAGAAACAACUACGUUCC
rnacentral:lncRNA from 1 species